UGAAGUCGCGCGAGGGAAUCAUGUGUUUCGUAAGGUGUCAAAGGAAGCAUCGGGCAUGGUCUAUUCCUUGGCUAAUCGGUUCUCCAAACCAAACGCAUCCUUUGUCUCUCUUUAUAUAAAUUCCUACAUGCGCUCGCACUUGGAACGGAGCACAUUAAAUUCCAUAAAAAAAAGUUCUAUUUAUUUCGCAGCGUACAUAAAUACAUACAAAAUCGCCGUGUUGUUAUUGUCAGAUUUUCCCGCAUCUUCCGGCGACUUUUUCCGGUUCAGGAGCCCUAUCCACGGAAGAUAAAAAGAGGGACGUCCAGGACAAUAGAUACAAAAAAUCAGGUGGCAAAGAGAGCCUUUGGUUAGACCUAUUCACAAACGAUUAUGUUUUAGUUGUGGUUCUCAAUAAACUACCAUGGCAAUAAAAUCCUACCAAGAUCAGGCAGAGCUGCUCCUGAAGGAAUAUUUGCUAGCUGGUUCUUCUAUCCUAUACACUUCUGUUAUUGUUGGCAUUUGUGCUUGCAAGAUGGUUUAUGAUCUUACGCAAUUGUUCAGUCUUGUUUACUUCAAGAGCUAUUCCAACCUUACAAAAAUGCAACGUAUUGAGUGGAAAAACCGGGCAAUAUCCACAUUUCAUGCCAUUUUCAUCACAGUUAUAUCUUUGUACUUAGUAUUCUGCUCAGAUCUGUACUCUGACUAUCGUCCUGGUCUUAUAAUAUUUCGAAGUUCUUCACUGUCUACAUUUGCGUUAGGGGUUUCUGUUGGUUACUUCAUUGUUGACCUUGGAAUGAUCAUCUGGUUUUAUCCUUUUCUAGGUGGGAUGGAAUACGUGAUUCAUCAUCUUAUUUCCAUGAUUGCUGUGGCAUAUGCUAUGUUGAUUGGGGAGGGGCAGCUUUACAUCUACAUGGUUCUGAUCUCAGAGACAACUACGCCUGGGAUCAAUCUGAGAUGGUAUCUGGACACAGCUGGAAUGAAGAGGUCUAGAGCAUAUCUCAUAAAUGGAGUAGUAAUAUUCUUGGCUUGGCUGGUUGCCAGGAUACUCCUUUUUAUAUACUUCUUUUACCAUGUCUACUUGCACUAUGAUCAGAUCAGGCAAAUACACAACUUUGGGAAACUUUUGGUUCUAACAGUGCCGGUAGUGCUGUCUGUGAUGAAUUUAAUGUGGUUUUGGAAGAUUAUCAAGGGACUGAAAAAGACAUUAACAAAGAGGCAUUAGCAAAGCAGAAACUGAGGAAUAUCUCAACUGGUGUUUACUCUGGUAUUCUCUCUCUAGUGCACAUGCACGUUUGUAAAUGGCCUUUCAUAAUCUUCUAUUGCAUGAAGAUAUUUUGCUUUGGAUUGUAACAUUGAAUAUAAAUUUCAUCAUU
rnacentral:misc_RNA from 1 species